AUUUGUGGAGUAAGUGAAGAUUUUUUUUUUAAGAUUUUAUUUAUUUAUUCAUGAGAGACACAGAGAGAGAUGCAGAGACAUAGGCAGAGAGAGAAGCAGGCUUCAUGCAGGGAGCCCUAUGAGAGUGAAUGAAGAUUGAAGCUAACUGCUCCUGUCUAGAAGGAGGGCAUCCCAAAAUUGGUGUCCUGAAAGGAUAUCAGUUUCCAAUGUUUGAUUAGUCCAAGAGUAUUAUCAUCAUCAGUGUACUACUAUGGAGGUAAUGAAAGUAGGGAGGGGGAUCGAGAAGCAUUUUCUUCCUCUACCAUCUCCGUUGUCCGUUGAAGGUGUCUAUCUCUGGCAAAUGACAUGUCCCCCGGCGUCCCCUCCACAUUUGCAGACCGAUGUAUAAACAAGCACUGUUACUCGUGUUCUCAAUCAAAAAUCCAGUACACAGCUUCACAGAUGUGGCUGCAACAGCUGGAGAAGUCGGGCUCCCUGGGAGACAGUAGAGAAGUUUAUCCUACUCCCCAACAUCAAAAUGUGGCAAGAACAAGGACAAAUGGGACCACUUAAAAUAAGUGUCAUCUACAUUUAGGGCAAGGUGGCUUUGAUAAAGGGCAAAUGUUUUUAACUGAAGGAGAUAGAAGAAUUCCACUCUUUCUUUUCUGACCUAGCUGCUGAGUUUGGAUGGAUCAGAUGGAUUCUCUAAUGGUUUCACCUAAGUAAGCAAAGCCAUGCUAUCCAUAAAAUGUCAGAAACGAAGAUUGUAGAAGGAGGCCCGCCUGCUUCUUUUCAAAGAGGAGGAGCUGAAGCAUGGAGACUGAGAAAGAACAUGUUAGCAACUAAUGGAAGAGCUGGGAUGAGAACCAAAUCCUUUCAGUUCACCAGAAAGUGCUUACAAACUAUGGAGAUGGUAGCAGGGGCUUCCCAAAGAGUACUUCCCUCAUUCAGGGGACCUGAGCAUUUUCUCCCAAUUUUCUUCCUGCCUAAACACACAGAGGCUUUCUUGAUCUCUCCUCCUCUCUCAAACUCCCUCCUUCCUUUUCUCUUCCAUUCAGUUUCUUUCUCUCUUUCCCUUUCCAUUGCUAACAUUUAUUGAGCACUUAUUAUGUUCCAGGCACUUGGAUCUGCAUUUUCUCACUUAAUCUUCAUGCUAACCCUAUGAGGUAAGCCCAAUAGUUUUUUUUUUAAGAUUUAUUUAUUUAUUAUUUAUUAUUUAUUUAUUUAUUUAUUUAUGAUAGACAUAGAAA